rnacentral:rRNA from 1 species
UACGUAGGGGGCAAGCGUUGUCCGGAAUCAUUGGGCGUAAAGAGCGUGUAGGCGGCCAGAUAAGUCCGCUGUGAAAUCUCGAGGCUCAACUUCGAGCUGUCGGUGGAAACUGUCUGGCUAGAGUCCGGAAGAGGAGAAUGGAAUUCCUGGUGUAGCGGUGAAAUGCGCAGAUAUCAGGAAGAACACCCGUGGCGAAGGCGGUUCUCUGGGAAGUACCUGACGCUCAGGUGCGAAAGCCAGGGGAGCGAACGGG